UUGCUCAGGCAGCACAUGUGAUAAACUGGAAUUGAUACUGAGAAGAUUAGCGUGGCCCCCAUGUAAAGGUGCCAAGUAAAAUUCCUGAGAAUUAAAAAGUGAUG